UACGGGGGGGGGCAAGCGUUGUUCGGAAUUACUGGGCGUAAAGGGCGCGUAGGCGGCCUUCUAAGUCAGACGUGAAAUCCCUCGGCUCAACCGAGGAACUGCGUCUGAUACUGGAAGGCUUGAAUCCGGGAGAGGGAUGUGGAAUUCCAGGUGUAGCGGUGAAAUGCGUAGAUAUCUGGAGGAACACCGGUGGCGAAGGCGGCAUCCUGGACCGGUAUUGACGCUGAGGCGCGAAAAGCUAGGGGAGCAAACGGGG
rnacentral:rRNA from 1 species